rnacentral:rRNA from 1 species
CCUACGGGUGGCAGCAGUGGGGAAUAUUGCGCAAUGGGCGAAAGCCUGACGCAGCGACGCCGCGUGAGGGAUGAAGGUCUUCGGAUCGUAAACCUCUGUCAGCAGGGAAGAACGGUCACUGUGCUAAUCAGCAGUGAAUUGACGGUACCUGCAAAGGAAGCACCGGCUAACUCCGUGCCAGCAGCCGCGGUAAUACGUAGGGUGCGAGCGUUAAUCGGAAUUACUGGGCGUAAAGCGCUCGUAGGCGGGAUGUCAAGUCAAUGGUGAAAUCCCCGGGCUCAACGUGGGAACUGCCUUUGAAACUGGCAAACUGGAGUGUGUGAGAGGAUAGUGGAAUUCCAGGUGUAGGAGUGAAAUGCGUAGAUAUCGGGAGGAACAUCAGUGGCGAAGGCGACUAUCUGGCACAUAACUGACGCUGAGGAGCGAAAGCGUGGGUAGCAAACAGGAUUAGAUACCCUAGUAGUC